rnacentral:lncRNA from 1 species
UGAGCCCUCCCCCCGCCUGCCGAGGGGGCUGGCGGGGGGGCAUUCCUGGGUCCCUGGAACUCUGAGCCCGCGUCCCCCACCCCUAAGGGGCGUGGGGGGGGGGCGCACCCCUCCAACCCCCUUUCCCCAGCCCCAGCUGGAAGCCGGUUGUCUGGACUGGGUUAGACUGGGCGGGUUUGGGUUCUUCCCCCUCCUCUCUGCUUCCCCCUCCUUCCUCCCCAUUCCUUUCCAGAUGUACAACGUAAACGCUCGGAAAACGAGUCGGAAAAGGGAGCGGAGAAUUUCCUAAUGAGGAAAGGAAUCACCUCUGGUGGGCGGAGGAAGCCUGUAUAUGUGUGUGGGGUCUCCCUCAGUGCUUUAGGGAGGAGACUUUGGGGUCUAAAGAGACAGGAGACUCCUCUGGCGUCCGGCCAACUGGGAUUCCCCCUUGCCUUCCGGGGCCGCCGGGUGCCUGGGUUCUGGCCAGCUGGAUUUGGGACACAACAGUUGAGGUACAGAGACAGCGUUCGCAGUCAGCUUGCUAGAGGACCUACACGGGCUCCUCAAGUUCCGCUGCUUCCUCCUCCAAGCUUGCUAGUAUUGAAAACCCAGGAGUUUGGGGUCAUUCAUCAGGAGGAUUCUGCUCCAGUUUGCCCCCUUCUUGGUCCUAGGAUACUGGAGGGCCAGAGAAAGCAAGCUUGAAACAGAGAGGAACGGGUCACUUUGGUGGAGGAAAUUGGGAGUCUUAUUCUGUUGCCCAGGCUGGAGUGAAGUGGCGCGAUCUCGGCCCACUGCAACCUUCACCUCCCGAGUUCGAGCGAUUCUUGUGCCUCAGCCCCCGGAGUAGCUGGGACAAAAAUCUUUAACUGUGAUUAAAAACACAUAUAAAAUUUACCAUGUUAAUGAAUUUUAAGUAUACAGUUCAGUAGU